UACGUAGGGCGCAAGCGUUGUCCGGAAUUAUUGGGCGUAAAGAGCUCGUAGGCGGUUUGUCGCGUCUGGUGUGAAAACUCAAGGCUCAACCUUGAGCUUGCAUCGGGUACGGGCAGACUAGAGUGCGGUAGGGGUGACUGGAAUUCCUGGUGUAGCGGUGGAAUGCGCAGAUAUCAGGAGGAACACCUAUAGCGAAGGCAGCUUGCUGGGACGUUACUGACGCUAAGGGCGCGAAAGCGUGGGGAGCGAACAGG
rnacentral:rRNA from 1 species